rnacentral:lncRNA from 1 species
GUUGUGGAGUUUAUGUUUUGGGGACGUUCUCCUGAACCUGAGAUUUGAAGCGAAAUUACCCUGGUGUUCAUCAUUCCUGCGAUUUACACCCAGUCAUGCUUAAUUGUGUUGACUAAGACGGCUCAAAGUGGGCGUCAGUCUCUGCAGUAAACCAGUAUUAGUUGUGGAGUUUAUGUUUUGGGGACGUUCUCCUGAACCUGAGAUUUGAAGCGAAAUUACCCUGGUGUUCGUCAUUCCUGCGAUUUACACCCAGUCAUGCUUAAUUGUGUUGACUAAGACGGCUCAAAGUGGGCGUCAGUCUCUGCAGUAAACCAGUAUUAGUAAGUAUUCCACAUCCGUAGACAUUCUAUGAAUCUUCAGUAGAAAUAAUAUCAACAGCUAUAGUCUGUCAGUUGACUCUGAUUACACCUCCUGGGGCUGGUGCGAAAAAAUUGCACAGGUUUUAUUGUAUGAGAGAUUACUGUGGUUUCAUUGAGUGGUUUAAGUAUCUAGUAAGUGUUGAGGAUUAGAUUUUUUAAGGAUAGAAGGACAAGGGAAACAUUGAGCACAAAACUGAAUCCUCCUUGCAUUUUAUUCUGGCCUAUCUUCUUACCUUUUAAAUCGAGAAGCAAAUUUUGAAAAUUCUUCAAUUUCCUCAAUUUAAUGAGCCUUUAUCUUCAAUUUUGUGUACUUAGGCAGGUAUUCUUUUCAGUCUCUCAGUCUCUUCCAAAGAUCCAUUUUUUGAGAGUGGUUGCUUUUGACAGUGUUAUCAGUGAUUCCAAGCUCAUGUAAUGUUUAAUAAUUGUUGGGUAAAUUAAAAAUGUAUCUAUCUAUCUAUCUAUCUAUCUAUCUAUUCAUUUAUUUAUAGGUGCACAAUGGUCACUUGUUGUGUUAAAGGCUGCACCAGUCGCACAUCAACAUCGGGCCCGAAGAUUCCCAAUAUCUCUUUUUAUCGAUUUCCAACAGAUCCUGUUUUGCGGAAAAGGUGGUUAAACAGGAUUAAUCGCAAAGAUUUUUCACCAACCAUUCACUCCAGGGUAUGUUCCCGGCACUUCCAGCUUAAUUCAGCGGUUCCGUCUAUAUUUCCAAAAGGCACACAUAUACCUAAGGGAUUGCUGCUAAUCAAGUUUUUGCACCACGAUCUUCGUACGAGGAUGCAAAAGCAGUUGGCUGUUUGGUCAAAUGUAGCAGAUUUGAACUGUCAAGUUGAGAGUUUUGUAAUUAUUUGUAAGUUAAAUGUUUGUAAAAUAUAGGAGCAGAGGCUUCAUCAUUAUCUGGAUUGCAUUUUGCAAAAAGGAACCAAGGGCAUUUCAAUGUUCCUUGGAUUGUGCAACUUACAUUCUGUGCAAUAAAAUCACUGGAAUCAUACAAAAAAAUCAAAUAUACUAAGGGAAUUUUCAUCUUGAAUCUAUAGUUUAUUGGGAGUAAAGAUAAAAUUGUUUUAUAUGAUUAGUUUAUAUUUACAAGAUAAAAGAAGUUGCUGAAUCUUAGCGAUAUCAGAAUGCUCUUGGUUCCUUUUCGCAAAAUGCAAUCCAUCUAUGCCAUAUUUUUGAGAGUAUCUCAUCCAAGCGAGAAAAUUCUCAUCAAUUGAAUCGUUGAUUAAUUUUAGAGUGACGGGUGGAUCAUGUCAAGAAAUUUGAUCUGAGUUCCUUGGAGCAGAAUCAGUUCUGUCCUUUUUUUUUAGAUAUAUUUAUUUAUCUAAUAAUGUUUUUGCAUAAAUAUUGCAAAUAUUUACAUGGGUUUGGCCGUUAGAGUCCUGCUCAAAAGUAUCAUCACGUAAUAUUUUCUCAUUGUUAGAGGUUACAAAUUUUUUUGUGAUGACCUAAUAUGUACGGAAAUCAUUCUCAAGGUUUAAUACAUGCUAACCGAUCAAACAUUUUCCACGCUCAUUGGAGUAAAUUAAUUUGUACCCUUUUUAUUGUUCUGCGUAGCCGUUAAAAUACAUCGGCUUAUUGUUGACAUCUAACUCUAGUCUCAAACGAAUUUCCUGAGUAUUUUGAUCUCAACUCUCUUCCUAUCCUUUCUAUUUUUAUGAGGAUUCUUUUCUAAGUUAUGUAGGUACUUUAUUUUUAUUGGAAUCUUCCUUUUCCUCAUUAGGAAAGCUCUGAAGUUAUGACUUCCAAAGUCCAACUUGAAGGAAUGUGCUGAGCUAUCGCCUUCUAUCAGACUAAAAAAGACAGUCUCGUUAGGCUUCUCUUUGUAGCCUGUUCACUUGUAUCAUUUCUCAUCUCUCAUCAUGUUUAAAUUAUGUUUUUUUGUGCAAUAAACUUGCUCUUUUUUCACUCUCCUCAAGUUAUUCUCUUCUCAUGCAUUCCUACUGGAACUUGAUAUUUUGAACAUCAAAUUAUGGAGUCAGAGACAUACACAAAAAUAGCCAGAAUAAUUUUAGGAAAAACAAAAUAGUUAAAUGGGUAACCAAAAAAAAUGAAAACUCCAGCCCUAGAGGGUUUUAAUUUUUUUGGUAAUUUAUAUUUUUGUAGGCCUGGUUGAUAAAGGGGUUGAGACCACCCGGAAACGCCCUCCUAGGCAUUUAUGUAUUAUGUUUGUCUCUAGCCAUGGAUGCCCACUUUAUUUUGUUUUUCAUUCAAUUAUGUGGUAAGUUGAUAGAAAUAAAAAUAAUUACCUAGGUUU